rnacentral:rRNA from 1 species
AUGAAGCCGCCUUUGGAAAGGAACCCAUCCAGGAAGCGCCAUUCAUGGUGGUGGGAUAGUCACAUUAGCCCCAAGAACUCAAAAUGGCUUGCAGAAAACCUCGAAGAAAUGGAUAAGCAAGUGAAGGAAAUGGUGCAGCUUAUUGAGGAAGAUGGCGACUCCUUUGCAAAGAAAGCUCAAAUGUAUUAUCAGAGGCGCCCAGUGCUCAUCACCCAUGUCGAGAACUUCUACCGGAUGUACCGCGCUUUAGCUGAGCGCUACGACAAUGUUACCGGUGAACUGCGCAAGAACAUCCCUUCAAGGAUGCAGUCUCAAGGAUCUUUAUCCGGUUCUGAGUUCGGUUCAGAGCUGCAAAGGUCGCCCACACCAUCUCCUGAGCCACAGAAGUCCUGGACAAGGGAGCAGAGCCCUAGAGCCGCCGGUUUCGACUUCUUUCUGAGCAAUAAGAGCAAUGACUCACCGUCCUCAAGGAAGGAGCCCGAGUCGGCUUCACAGUCAGAAUCCGACAUGAAGUCUGAGGAUGGCGAGGAUGAUGGCAUUGCCUACACAUUGCACCAGAGGGUUCUCGAGCUCGAGGACGAUCUCAAUGCCGCGAACCGGAAGCUGCUUGAUGCAAACGAAAAGCUCGAGGUUUUCGAGGAAAAGAGCCUGAGGUGCCAUUGCGAUUAUAUGGAAAAUGGAAAUGGCGCCGAUUAUGCUGCCAAAAUUACAGACAUUGAUGGAGAGUUCGCGUCAACUAAGGAGAAGCUACAAUCUUCAGAAGUGGAGAUCGACAGUCUCCAAAGGAGGCUCGAAGAUGCCGCAAUUUUGUCCGAAGAGCACUCUAGGUUGCUGGAACAGAACAAGGGACUGGAAGCUGAAAUUGUCAGUCUGAAGGAAGAAAUGGCUUCAGCCAGACGGCGUUUCGACGAUAAAAUUUCCAAGAGCGAUGCCGAGAUCAGCAAGUACAAGCAAGAGCUUACCGCCACGUCUGAGAAGCUGCUGCAGGAGAAGUCCACCAACAGUGCAGAGGUAGGUAAGCUGCAAGAGACAAUCCAGAUCGCCAGUCGUGAGCUGGAGAAAGUUUCCAAAGAGAAGUCCCUGGUGGAGGACCAGGUGAAGGAGCUGGACGAGGUGAACUUUGAAGCUGAAAGGCAGAUGCAGGAGCUAGUCCAUGCCGCCGAAAUGCUCUCAGAGGACAAGUUCAGUCAUGAAGCUGAGAUCCUGACGAUGCAGCAGAGCAUCGAGGACCUGAAGCCGAGAUUUGAAAGCAUCGCAAGAGAGAAAUCACUGCUGAAACUCUGGUUCGCGGAUCUGGAGCGCGUCGUGGAGCGAGGAAGUAGCGUCGUCAUUCCCCCAGAAUAA